rnacentral:rRNA from 1 species
CAAUAGCGUAUAUUAAAGUUGUUGCGGUUAAAAAGCUCGUAGUUGGAUUUCUGCUGAGAACGACCGGUCCGCCCUCUGGGUGUGUAUCUGGCUCUUUCUUGGCAUCUUCUUGGAGAGCGCAUCUGCACUUAACUGUGUGGAUCGUACUUCAAGUCAGUUACUUUGAGGAAUUGUGAGUGUUUCAAGCAGGCUUACGCCGUUGAAUCCGUUAGCAUGGAAUAAUAGGAUAGGACCUCGGUUCUAUUUUGUUGGUUUUGAGAGCUGGGGCAGCGAUUGAUAGGGACGGAUGGGGGCGUCCGAACUUUACUGUCAGAGGUGAAAUUCUUAGAUCGGUCAAAGGCGAACUACUGCGAACGCAUUCGCCAAGAAUGUUUUCUUUAA